CCUUUUGUAUAAUGGGUCAGCGACUUAUAUUCUGUAGCAAGGUUAACCGAAUAGGGGAGCCGAAGGGAAACCGAGUCUUAACUGGGCGUUAAGUUGCAGGGUAUAGACCCGAAACCCGGUGAUCUAGCCAUGGGCAGGUUGAAGGUUGGGUAACACUAACUGGAGGACCGAACCGACUAAUGUUGAAAAAUUAGCGGAUGACUUGUGGCUGGGGGUGAAAGGCCAAUCAAACCGGGAGAUAGCUGGUUCUCCCCGAAAGCUAUUUAGGUAGCGCCUCGUGAAUUCAUCUCCGGGGGUAGAGCACUGUUUCGGCAAGGGGGUCAUCCCGACUUACCAACCCGAUGCAAACUGCGAAUACCGGAGAAUGUUAUCACGGGAGACACACGGCGGGUGCUAACGUCCGUCGUGAAGAGGGAAACAACCCAGACCGCCAGCUAAGGUCCCAAAGUCAUGGUUAAGUGGGAAACGAUGUGGGAAGGCCCAGACAGCCAGGAUGUUGGCUUAGAAGCAGCCAUCAUUUAAAGAAAGCGUAAUAGCUCACUGGUCGAGUCGGCCUGCGCGGAAGAUGUAACGGGGCUAAACCAUGCACCGAAGCUGCGGCAGCGACGCUUAUGCGUUGUUGGGUAGGGGAGCGUUCUGUAAGCCUGUGAAGGUGUACUGUGAGGUAUGCUGGAGGUAUCAGAAGUGCGAAUGCUGACAUAAGUAACGAUAAAGCGGGUGAAAAGCCCGCUCGCCGGAAGACCAAGGGUUCCUGUCCAACGUUAAUCGGGGCAGGGUGAGUCGACCCCUAAGGCGAGGCCGAAAGGCGUAGUCGAUGGGAAACAGGUUAAUAUUCCUGUACUUGGUGUUACUGCGAAGGGGGGACGGAGAAGGCUAUGUUGGCCGGGCGACGGUUGUCCCGGUUUAAGCGUGUAGGCUGGUUUUCCAGGCAAAUCCGGAAAAUCAAGGCUGAGGCGUGAUGACGAGGCACUACGGUGCUGAAGCAACAAAUGCCCUGCUUCCAGGAAAAGCCUCUAAGCAUCAGGUAACAUCAAAUCGUACCCCAAACCGACACAGGUGGUCAGGUAGAGAAUACCAAGGCGCUUGAGAGAACUCGGGUGAAGGAACUAGGCAAAAUGGUGCCGUAACUUCGGGAGAAGGCACGCUGAUAUGUAGGUGAAGUCCCUCGCGGAUGGAGCUGAAAUCAGUCGAAGAUACCAGCUGGCUGCAACUGUUUAUUAAAAACACAGCACUGUGCAAACACGAAAGUGGACGUAUACGGUGUGACGCCUGCCCGGUGCCGGAAGGUUAAUUGAUGGGGUUAGCGCAAGCGAAGCUCUUGAUCGAAGCCCCGGUAAACGGCGGCCGUAACUAUAACGGUCCUAAGGUAGCGAAAUUCCUUGUCGGGUAAGUUCCGACCUGCACGAAUGGCGUAAUGAUGGCCAGGCUGUCUCCACCCGAGACUCAGUGAAAUUGAACUCGCUGUGAAGAUGCAGUGUACCCGCGGCAAGACGGAAAGACCCCGUGAACCUUUACUAUAGCUUGACACUGAACAUUGAGCCUUGAUGUGUAGGAUAGGUGGGAGGCUUUGAAGUGUGGACGCCAGUCUGCAUGGAGCCGACCUUGAAAUACCACCCUUUAAUGUUUGAUGUUCUAACGUUGACCCGUAAUCCGGGUUGCGGACAGUGUCUGGUGGGUAGUUUGACUGGGGCGGUCUCCUCCUAAAGAGUAACGGAGGAGCACGAAGGUUGGCUAAUCCUGGUCGGACAUCAGGAGGUUAGUGCAAUGGCAUAAGCCAGCUUGACUGCGAGCGUGACGGCGCGAGCAGGUGCGAAAGCAGGUCAUAGUGAUCCGGUGGUUCUGAAUGGAAGGGCCAUCGCUCAACGGAUAAAAGGUACUCCGGGGAUAACAGGCUGAUACCGCCCAAGAGUUCAUAUCGACGGCGGUGUUUGGCACCUCGAUGUCGGCUCAUCACAUCCUGGGGCUGAAGUAGGUCCCAAGGGUAUGGCUGUUCGCCAUUUAAAGUGGUACGCGAGCUGGGUUUAGAACGUCGUGAGACAGUUCGGUCCCUAUCUGCCGUGGGCGCUGGAGAACUGAGGGGGGCUGCUCCUAGUACGAGAGGACCGGAGUGGACGCAUCACUGGUGUUCGGGUUGUCAUGCCAAUGGCACUGCCCGGUAGCUAAAUGCGGAAGAGAUAAGUGCUGAAAGCAUCUAAGCACGAAACUUGCCCCGAGAUGAGUUCUCCCUGACUCCUUGAGAGUCCUGAAGGAACGUUGAAGACGACGACGUUGAUAGGCCGGGUGUGUAAGCGCAGCGAUGCGUUGAGCUAACCGGUACUAAUGAACCGUGAGGCUUAACCUU
rnacentral:rRNA from 1 species